UUGAAAGGGAAACGAUUGAAGUCAGUCGUACCUUUGGGAAUCAGCCUUUUGGGUGUGAUUUUGUGGAGUGUGGGGAGUUAAACGCCUUCAUGCCUGCAUAUUCGUGCACUUUGGGUGUAUUUGCCCGUGUGGUAAGUUAACAUCAAUUUUGGUGGUCAUAAAAUGGCUGGAGGAAUGUAGCUUCGAUCUCGUAUUGAAGUGUUAUAGCCUUCGGUAGAUGUGAUUAUCGGGAUUGAGGAUUGCAACGGAUACCCUUCGGGCUACCUGUCUGAUCUCUGAUCGGUGCUCUGGUGCCGAAAGCUUGCUUACGGUUAUCAAAGUCGAUGGUCAAUAGGUUAGAACGGGGUUAAAUUCGUUAAGGAUGUUGACGUA
rnacentral:rRNA from 1 species